GCCGGGUGUGGCAGUGUGCACCUGUAGUCCCAGCUGCUUGGGAGGCUGAGGCAAGAGGAUCACUUGAGCCCGGGAGGCUGAGGCUGCAGUGAGCCAAGAUCGUGCCACUGCACUCCAGUAUGGGCAACAGAGUGAAACCCUGACUCUU
ensembl:misc_RNA Metazoa_SRP Metazoan signal recognition particle RNA